UACGGGGGGGGCAAGCGUUGUUCGGAAUUAUUGGGCGUAAAGAGCUCGUAGGCGGUUUGUCGCGUCUGCUGUGAAAACCCGAGGCUCAACCUCGGGCCUGCAGUGGGUACGGGCAGACUAGAGUGCGGUAGGGGAGAUUGGAAUUCCUGGUGUAGCGGUGGAAUGCGCAGAUAUCAGGAGGAACACCGAUGGCGAAGGCAGAUCUCUGGGCCGUAACUGACGCUGAGGAGCGAAAGCAUGGGGAGCGAACAGG
rnacentral:rRNA from 1 species